rnacentral:rRNA from 1 species
AGUGAACGCUGGCGGUAGGCCUAACACAUGCAAGUCGAACGGCAGCACAGUAAGAGCUUGCUCUUACGGGUGGCGAGUGGCGGACGGGUGAGGAAUACAUCGGAAUCUACUUUUUCGUGGGGGAUAACGUAGGGAAACUUACGCUAAUACCGCAUACGACCUACGGGUGAAAGCAGGGGAUCUUCGGACCUUGCGCGGUUGAAUGAGCCGAUGUCGGAUUAGCUAGUUGGCGGGGUAAAGGCCCACCAAGGCGACGAUCCGUAGCUGGUCUGAGAGGAUGAUCAGCCACACUGGAACUGAGACACGGUCCAGACUCCUACGGGAGGCAGCAGUGUGGAAUAUUGGACAAAGGGCGCAAGCCUGAUCCAGCCAUACCGCGUGGGUGAAGAAGGCCUUCGGGUUGUAAAGCCCUUUUGUUGGGAAAGAAAAGCAGCAGGUUAAUACCCCGCUGUUCUGACGGUACCCAAAGAAUAAGCACCGGCUAACUUCGUG